GGGCAUGUAGUGUAGGGGUUAUCGCGCCUCAUUCGCAAGCUACGUGACUUGAGGAGGUCUCCGGUUCAAUUCCGGACUUGUCCA